AUUUUUUCUUUUUCUUUCUUUCUUUUUUUUUUUUAUUUUUGAGACAGAGUUUCUCUCUGUCAUCCAGACUGGAGUGGAAUGGCACAAUCUGAGCUCACUGCAACCUCUGCCUCCUGGGUUCAAGCAAUUCUCCUACCUCAGCCUCCUGAGUAUCUAGGAUUACAACAGGCUCUCGCAAUUUGUAUUCUCAACACCGGACCAUUAUUGUCAACACAGCCAUGGAGAGGGACACUGAGGAUAUAAGGUUUCUUCUUCUUAGCAAGGUGGCAGUCCAUUAUCACUGCAAAUAAAGACAAAUUGAGACUUGAUAAUUUACA
rnacentral:lncRNA from 13 species